AGUGGCGAACGGGUGAGUAACACGUGGGUAACCUACCAUAUAGACAGGGACAACAGUUGGAAACGACUGCUAAUACCUGAUAACAUAAGCUAUCGCAUGAUAGGUUAUGGAAAGGGGCGUAUGCCUCACUAUGUGAUGGACCCGCGGCGCAUUAGCUAGUUGGUGAGAUAAAAGCUCACCAAGGCGACGAUGCGUAGCCGACCUGAGAGGGUGAACGGCCACAUUGGGACUGAGACACGGCCCAGACUCCUACGGGAGGCAGCAGUAGGGAAUUUUCCACAAUGGGGGCGACCCUGAUGGAGCAAUGCCGCGUGAGAGAAGAAGGCCUUCGGGUUGUAAAUCUCUGUUGUAAGGNAAGAAAAUUGAUAAGAGGAAAUGCUUAUUAAGUGACGGUACCUUACCAGAAAGCCACGGCUAACUACGUGCCAGCAGCCGCGGUAAUACGUAGGUGGCGAGCGUUAUCCGGAAUUAUUGGGCGUAAAGGGUGCGCANGCGGUUGU
rnacentral:rRNA from 1 species